rnacentral:rRNA from 1 species
CGGGUAACGUACCCAUCAGAGGGGGAUAACACUUGGAAACAGGUGCAAUACCGCAUAACAGUUUAUGCCGCAUGGCAUAAGAGUGAAAGGCGCUUCGGGUGUCGCUGAUGGAUGGACCCGCGGUGCAUUAGCUAGUUGGUGAGGUAACGGCUCACCAAGGCCACGAUGCAUAGCCGACCUGAGAGGGUGAUCGGCCACACUGGGACUGAGACACGGCCCAG